AUCUUAACAGGAGUCGAGCGAUUUCAAUGAUAAUUCAUCUCAGGCUAGCAUUUCUAUUCAAUUCUUGUUUAUCGUGUCUGAUUACUAUGGUUAUGCUACCUGCCUAAUAACGUCGGCGAGUCUCGGUUUUGUGCCUCUAGGCAUCAACGAGAAGAGAAUGAUCUCUUUACCCCAAAGUCUGUAAAAAGCAUUUUUUCUCAGGCCCAGGACCAGCCCAUAAAAAAUAAUUGGCUAUCAACCUGGCCGAGACAAAUUGUUUGACGAGUCUACCCAAAACUAUACAGAAGUUGCCCCACG
rnacentral:misc_RNA from 1 species